rnacentral:rRNA from 1 species
GAUGAACGCUGGCGGCGUGGAUAAGGCAUGCGAGUCGAACGAGCCUUGUGCUUUGCACAGGGCGAGUGGCGAACGGGUUAGUAACACGUAGAUUACCAACCCCAUUCACGGGCAUAACUCCGAGAAAUCGGGGCUAAUUCCCGAUAGUAUCGCUUUUCUGGCGAUUAAAGGCACAAGCAAUUGAGCCGGAAUGGGAUGGGUCUGCGGCCUAUCAGCUAGUUGGUAAGGUGAUGGCUUACCAAGGCGAUGACGGGUAGGCGGAGUGAGAGCUUGACCGCCAACACUGGCACUGCGAUACGGGCCAGACUCCUACGGGAGGCAGCAGUCGAGAAUAUUGGACAAUGGGGGAAACCCUGAUCCAGCGACGCCGCGUGCUUGAAGAAGCCCUUCGGGGUGUAAAGAGCUUUUCUCCAAGAAUAAGCUUUCGGCUGAAGGUAUUGGAGGAAUAAAGGGAUGCUAAUCACGUGCCAGCAGCCGCGGUAAUACGUGAUCCCUAAGCGUUAUCCGGAUUUAUUGGGCGUAAGGCGUCUGUAGGUGGUUUGGAAAGUCUUUGGUUAAAGACCCAGGGCUUAACCUUGGGAAUGCCAGAGAUACUUUCAGACUUGAGGGUGUUAGAGGGGAGCGGAACGGUCGGUGUAGGGGUGAAAUCCGUUGAUAUCGACUGGAACACCGAAUGCGAAGGCAGCUCCCUGGGGCAACCCUGACACUGAGAGACGAAAGCGUGGGGAGCAAAAAGGAUUAGAUACCCUUGUAGUCCACGCUGUAAACGAUGGAUACUAGCUAUUUGAAGUGUCGACCCUUCAAGUGGCGAAGCUAACGCAUUAAGUAUCCCGCCUGGGAAGUACGACGGCAACGUUAAAACUCAAAAGAAUAGACGGGGCUUCACACAAGCGGUGGGCCAUGUGGCUUAAUUCGACAACAAACGAAGAACCUUACCAGGGCUUGACAGACUAGUGAAAAUCCCGAGAAACCGGGACUGCCCACAAGGACACUAGUUCAGGUGCUACAUGGUUGUCGUCAGCAUGUGUUUUGAAAUGCACGCUUAAAUGCGGUAACAUGCGCAACCCCUACUCUAUGUUUUAUUUGUCAUAGAGGACUGCCUGGGAUGACCAGGAGGAAGGUGGGGAUGACACCAAAUCAGCAUGGCCCUUUGAUGUCCUGGGCCGCACACAUGGUACAAUGGGGCUGACAACGAGUUGCAAAGGGGUAACCCGGAGCUAAUCUCUUAAACGGUCCCCCAGUUCGGAUUGAGAUCUGAAACUCGACCUCAUGAAGUUGGAAUCGCUAGUAAUCGCCAAUCAGCUAUGUGGCGAUGAAUACGUCCCUGAAGCUUGUACUCACCGCCCGUCACA